GGGGCUGUGUUUUGCCCGGGUACAGCAGCAGCAGGCGGACUGUAGGCUGAUCCAGGAUCUUCAAACUUAAAAAGCCCCUCCGCUUCUGAUUGGUCCGGACUGGAAACGAGAAGCGCUGAUGCUGCUUUCAUAGUGAAGGCCAAUGCCCCCCCACUGCUGGACACUGAACAGGGGUCUACAAGGAAGAAUUCAAAGUAUAUGACAAAAACAGGCUACAGUCCAACACAGAGCAGGAUGUACUGACAACUGAAGGACUUGAGAAGAAAACAGGUCCACAGUAGAAGAAUGCAGAAGAUGCCUGCAGAGCAAUGUGGAAGCAGUGAGACAGACCAGUGCACCCUCUACUGGACACACUCUCAAAGUGUACUAGUUUCCAGCCCACGCAAAAGUCUACAGAUGUGUAACAAAUAAACACACACUUUGAAGAAGAUUCAAAUGCUCUUGUGUAUACACUUUGGCAAGAAAUACAACAGGAGACACACUGUUUCCUUCAACCUACCAAGCACUGAUGAAGAUGAGGUUGACAAACUUGCCCUCUCAGAAUGAAAAGUUUUAAAUAUUUUCUAACAAAGCACCAGUAUUUCUCUUUUUCUCUUAAGGAACAGUACCCUCUUUCAGUUAUAUGGCUACAAUCAGCUCCCUGUUUUUGUACUCUUGGUCUUAAAUCUUUAUUUUAUAACAGUUCUUAUGAAAGCAUCGGUUCAAUCAGUCUUUAUUUAAAAAAAUGCAUUCUGAUAUUAUAAUAGACUGAGGUUAUUACAAAUAUUUAGUUCACUGGGGGCCUGAAAAUUCACCAAGUGAGGGGGUAAUGUGUAAAAUGGAGAUAAAUAAAUGUAGACGACUAAAUUACAGAAAUAAGAGAAUAAGAAGAAUCAAGAUCACAUGUAAAUAUUGUGUUCACACUCCUCAGUUUCUGUUAGCAAUUUAUUUGAAAGGCUUGAUAUUGAGACCUCUUGUUUUUAAGGUUUGUUAGUAGAUGUGUUUAUGUUGACAGAGUCGAACUAAACCUCAUAUUAAACACUAAUGAGCCUUACAGAACAUGCUGUGUUGCACAUCUGCGGAACUACCAUCAUGUUAAACAUCCACUGCCUUUUUUCAGAAAUCAAAAGUGGUUCUUCAAUCAAGGCCCUCACGUGGUUGCUCCAAAA